ACAACCUAAUAAGGUUAUGGGCUGUGACGAGCAUGUUGCAUGCACCUGGAAAUGGGAGAAAGGCAGGCGUGGAAUGAGCUUACCUGCUGCUCUACAUGAAAGCAGAAUUACUUUUAUAUUAUCUUGAUAAAACUAGUCAUCAACCUCUGUACAGCAGAAAAUCAACAUAGUCUGUAGACUUGGAAGUCGGGUUUUUUUCCACAUGCCUUUUCAUUUAUUUUCUGUCCCUUAUGAUUGCCUCUGGGGGAUAUUCCUGAUAUUGUCAUAUUGUUCCUCUGUGCUUGGUUCUCUGUAGCCUGCUGUUGGAGCUUGACUUAUAUUUGACUUUGGAACUCUUCAGACUUCUGUCUCCAAGAAGAUGAACUGUAACCUUUACUGCAGAGAGCUCCAUCAUGCCCAAGGAACAAAGAUGUUGACCACAGUCUUUCUUACACAAUUAAGUAAUCUUUUAGACAUUCUGACAAUAAACUGUGGACGGUCUGAAGGCAAAGAAGGCAGUGCAACUUGA
rnacentral:lncRNA from 1 species